rnacentral:rRNA from 1 species
GGGGAAAGCGUGAUCCAGCCAUGCCGCGUGAGUGAAGAAGGCCUUCGGGUUGUAAAGCUCUUUCAGGUGGAAAGAAAUCGGAUGGGUUAAUACCCUGUCAGGAUGACGGUACCACCAGAAGAAGCACCGGCUAACUACGUGCCAGCAGCCGCGGUAAUACGUAGGGUGCGAGCGUUAAUCGGAAUUACUGGGCGUAAAGCGUGCGCAGGCGGUUGUGUAAGACAGGUGUGAAAUCCCCGGGCUUAACCUGGGAAAUGCGCUUGUGACUGCACAGCUAGAGUGUGGCAGAGGGGGGUGGAAUUCCACGUGUAGCAGUGAAAUGUGUAGAGAUGUGGAGGAAUACCGAUGGGGAAGGCAGCCCCCUGGGCCUGUACUGACGCUCAUGCACGAAAGCGUGGGGAGCAAACAGGAUUAGAUACCCUGGUAGUCCACGCCCUAAACGAUGUCAACUAGUUGUUUGGAAGGGAAACCUUSUGAGURACGCAGCUAACGCGUGAAGUGA